rnacentral:rRNA from 1 species
GAUGAACGCUGGCGGCGUGCCUAAUACAUGCAAGUAGAACGCUGAAGGAGGAGCUUGCUCUUCUGGAUGAGUUGCGAACGGGUGAGUAACGCGUAGGUAACCUGCCUGGUAGCGGGGGAUAACUAUUGGAAACGAUAGCUAAUACCGCAUGACAACAGUUAUUGCAUGAUAACUGUUUAAAAGGGGCAACUGCUCCACUACCAGAUGGACCUGCGUUGUAUUAGCUAGUUGGUGAGGUAACGGCUCACCAAGGCGACGAUACAUAGCCGACCUGAGAGGGUGAUCGGCCACACUGGGACUGAGACACGGCCCAGACGCCUACGGGAGGCAGCAGUAGGGAAACUUCGGCAAGGGACGGAAGACUGACCGAGCAACGCCGCGGGAGGGAAGAAGGUUGUCGGAUCGGAAAGCUCUGUUGUAAGAGAAGAACGAGUGUGAGAGUGGAAAGUUCACACUGUGACGGUAUCUGACCAGAAAGGGACGGCUAACUACGUG